rnacentral:rRNA from 1 species
AUUGAACGCUGGCGGCAGGCUUAACACAUGCAAGUCGAGCGAGCGGCGGACGGGUGAGUAAUGUCUGGGAAACUGCCUGAUGGAGGGGGAUAACUACUGGAAACGGUAGCUAAUACCGCAUACCAUCAGAUGUGCCCAGAUGGGAUUAGCUAGUAGGUGGGGUAAUGGCUCAACGAGGCCACGAUCCCUAGCUGGUCUGAGAGGAUGACCAGCCACCCUGGAACUGGGCCACGGUCCAGACUCCUACGGGCGGCAGCAGUGGGGAAUAUUGCACAAUGGGCGCAAGCCUGAUGCAGCCAUGCCGCUUGUGGGAAGAAGGCCUUCGGGUUUUAAAGCGCUUUCAGCGAGGAGGCGUUACUCGCAGAAGAAGCACCGGCUAACUCCGUGCCAGCCGCCGCGGUAAUUC